CCUACGGGUGGCUGCAGUCGAGGAUCUUUCGCAAUGGGCGCAAGCCUGACGAAGCGACGCCGUGUGAGUGAAGAAGGCCUUCGGGUUGUAAAGCUCUUUCGCCUGGGAACAAGAGACCAUAGCAAAUAACUAUGGGAUUUGAGAGUACUAGGUAAAGAAGCACCGGCUAACUCCGUGCCAGCAGCUGCGGUAAUACGGAGGGUGCAAGCAUUAAUCGGAUUUAUUGGGCGUAAAGAGGGCGUAGGCUGAGAUGUAAGUCAGAUGUGAAAGCCCGGGGCUCAACCCCGGAACGGCAUUUGAAACUGCAUUUCUAGAGGGUAGUCGGAGAAAACGGAAUUCCACAUGUAGCGGUGAAAUGCGUAGAUAUGUGGAAGAACACCGGUGGCGAAGGCGGUUUUCUAGAUUAUACCUGACGCUGAGGCCCGAAAGCAAGGGGAGCA
rnacentral:rRNA from 1 species